GACAGAGGGGUGCAAACGUUGCUCGGAAUCACUGGGCGUAAAGGGCGUGUAGGCGGGACAGUAAGUCGGGGCGUGAAAUCCCUGGGCUCAACCCAGGAACUGCACUCGAAACUACUAUUCUUGAGUGUCGGAGAGGAAAGCGGAAUUCCUGGUGUAGAGGUGAAAUUCGUAGAUAUCAGGAGGAACACCAGUGGCGAAGGCGGCUUUCUGGACGAUAACUGACG
rnacentral:rRNA from 1 species